GAAGUAUUAGCGACUAGUUUGUUGACGUUGUAACCGAAUUCAAAACGUGCACAUAAGCAAAUUGGCAUUCACGUAUAUAGUUACACUUGAUUUGCGACUGAAUUAAUUAUGUCGUGGCUUUUUCAAUCAGAUUCUGCUGUAUUAGCGCAACUCACUUACAAAAGAGGGCGUUUUAUCCAUUGUUGGCCAAAUAUAGACAAUGGGAAAAUCCUCUUGUUCAAGUCUCCGGUAUGCUAGCCGCUCUAUUCUGAGCCCUCUUUGUGGUCCAACCUUUUUAGCCACUUUCGUUUUAAUGUAAUCAAAUGAACGUGCCUCGCAUUAUUCUGUUGCCAAUAAAUUUCACCAGGCAAAUAGAUGAGGAUUGGAUACCAGUCCCCAAUGGUUGUUGGAUACUACUUUUCGGGGGCCGGGGCUUUCCACCCACGGGAUUUUAUCGUCCUGCAUUGCGAAUUGGUAGUGAGAAUAAUAGUAAUACAUACUAGUUCGGACCGGUAAAAUAACUAUCUUUGUUUUGAUUAAUAAAAUUAAGUUCCAUUAAAAAUAUUCAAAGAAAAUGUAAAAAGUCAUAUAUUCCAAUAUCAACAAUAAUGCGAAUACAAUUGCAAUUUUUUUAUAAACAACGGGUUCCUAAUU